rnacentral:rRNA from 1 species
AUUGAACGCUGGCGGCAUGCCUUACACAUGCAAGUCGAACGGCAGCAUGAUCUAGCUUGCUAGAUUGAUGGCGAGUGGCGAACGGGUGAGUAAUACAUCGGAACGUGCCCUGUAGUGGGGGAUAACUAGUCGAAAGAUUAGCUAAUACCGCAUACGACCUGAGGGUGAAAGUGGGGGACCGCAAGGCCUCAUGCUAUAGGAGCGGCCGAUGUCUGAUUAGCUAGUUGGUGAGGUAAAGGCUCACCAAGGCGACGUUCAGUAGCUGGUCUGAGAGGACGAUCAGCCACACUGGGACUGAGACACGGCCCAGACUCCUACGGGAGGCAGCAGUGGGGAAUUUUGGACAAUGGGCGAAAGCCUGAUCCAGCAAUGCCGCGUGUGUGAAGAAGGCCUUCGGGUUGUAAAGCACUUUUGUCCGGAAAGAAAUGGCUCUGGUUAAUACCUGGGGUCGAUGACGGUACCGGAAGAAUAAGGACCGGCUAACUACGUG